rnacentral:rRNA from 1 species
UACGUAGGUGGCAAGCGUUGUCCGGAUUUACUGGGCGUAAAGAGCGCGCAGGCGGUUAUUCAAGUCGAAUGUGAAAGCCCCCGGCUUAACUGGGGAGGGUCAUUCGAUAUUGUUUAACUUGAAGGCAGGAGAGGGUAGUGGAAUUCCCGGUGUAGUGGUGAAAUGCGUAGAUAUCGGGAGGAACACCAGUGGCGAAGGCGGCGAUCUGGGAAGAUACUGACGCUGAGGUGCGAAAGCGUGGGGAGCAAACAGG